rnacentral:rRNA from 1 species
CCUACGGGAGGCAGCAGUGGGGAAUUUUGGACAAUGGGGGCAACCCUGAUCCAGCCAUUCCGCGUGAGUGAAGAAGGCCUUCGGGUUGUAAAGCUCUUUCAGCUGGAACGAAACGGUACAUCCUAAUACGGUGUGCUAAUGACGGUACCAGCAGAAGAAGCACCGGCUAACUACGUGCCAGCAGCCGCGGUAAUACGUAGGGUGCGAGCGUUAAUCGGAAUUACUGGGCGUAAAGCGUGCGCAGGCGGAUUGUUAAGCAAGAUGUGAAAUCCCCGGGCUUAACCUGGGAAUGGCAUUUUGAACUGGCAGUCUAGAGUGUGUCAGAGGGGGGUGGAAUUCCACGUGUAGCAGUGAAAUGCGUAGAGAUGUGGAGGAACACCAAUGGCGAAGGCAGCCCCCCGGGAUAACACUGACGCUCAUGUACGAAAGCGUGGGUAGCAAACAGGAUUAGAUACCCUGGUAGUCCACGUCCUAAACGAUGUCAACUGGUUGUUGGGGGAGUGAAAUCCCUUAGUAACGAAGCUAACGCGUGAAGUUGACCGCCUGGGGAGUACGG